GUGGAUUUGGAAAGCGGGGCCGAAUUUUUUAAUUGGACUAAGCCCAACGCCCUGAGUUCAAGGGGAGAGAAAACAACAACUGAAGGGGGCACUGGCGGAUUUGGACUUUUGGAAAACUUUCCGUGUCCCCGGGCCUGAGGUGUUUCCAAGGGCAGGAAGUCGCCCCGGAUGGCACGGCGGGGCCGCGUGCUGGGCCGGGGGGGGGCGCGGGAACCCCUCGUUUCGGGACGUGAGGUGUGGAAACCUCCCCAGAGGAGAAUGGCGAGCGCUUUCCCGGGCAGGGGUGGCCUGGAGAGGUCUGCCACCAGCGGCCUGCGCUCUGGCUCACUUCAUAAAUGUUUAUUUUUUUCCUUCGUUCCCUCAGAGAUACUGUGGCCUGUAAUCAAAGUGCUUUAGGACUGCUGUACACAGUCUAAGGCGCCUAUAUGUUCCUGUAUAUAGAUAAAUAGGACAUACAGCAUAAAGCCAAUGGAGGAGGAAGGCCUUGGCCCUCGCUCUGCACGGGCAGUGCAGGCCGCGUUCCCCUCUGCCUGUGGUGUGUGCAGUGUUUGUAAGCACUCAUCUCCUGACAUGUUUUCCACCCAGGGGAGCCCAGGAGAAGACCUGCACGACAACCAUGACGGAGACAGUGCCGCUUGGGGUAAACAGGAGAGAGAAAGGCCCGUGUGUGCGUGCCUUAUGAAUAAACCGGCUAUUAGGCUGAUGCUUCCAGUAACACUACCCAGCAGCAAGGUACAAAAUGUCUGAAUUGGACUCUGAUCUUGUGAUGCCAGCCUCGUAAUAACUACUGUUUUACAUUAACGAUGUCUUGGUUCUUGUAGCUUGGUUGUUCGGCUUAUAGCUAAAAUAGUUGGAGAUCCCCUAUGAUCAGGUUGUGAAGCUGAUGCUAGUAUUACACCACCGGGUUUGUUGUUUUUACAUUGGUGGAGGCUCCCCUCCUUUUUGAGGUAGAGAAAGGGCUUAUGAAUUAAGACCUGAUUUUCUGAUUUACCUGCCUUAAUAUGCAUGCAUUUUAGUGGUAUUGAAUAAAGGUGGUGACCAGUUUCUGGUGGAAGUGAUAAUUUUUAAAUGUACUAAGAUUACGUUGAUGUUUAAAAAUUGUAUCUCUUGUUGCAUAUUAAAAGAGUCAAAGAUUAAAUGUAGGGCAAAAGGGGGGAAAAAAUCUCGCUAUUUAGAAAAAUAUCAUCUUUUUAUUGAUCUCUAGUACCUGUCAAUGCAACUUGAAUUUAUUGAAAUUGUAAAAUAAAACCUGUACUAUUUAAAUGACUUAUAAAAGUUAUCAUAUGCAAUGAAUCUCAAUGGGUAAAUGUUAUGUGUGCAAUGAGCAUUCUUGCAGACAGACAGUGCAGGUCCAGUAGCCGAAUUGUCACUAUUCACUAGUAGUUGGAUGUUGGGGUGUUUGUGGGUUUUGUGAGUGUGUUGGUUGCUUAUUUUUAGGUAUAACUGUGCCAAGUGAGUCUUCUGUUCUAAUAGCUGCGUUGCAGUUUCAAACUUUGUUCUUGAAUCUUUAGUAUUAAAUUACAUGUUUAUUACCUAUCUGCUGAACUGCUGCUAUAUAGAGAGGAGGCCACAGUGGCUCUUGUCAGUGUGCCACUAACUCUGCUCUCUGGUGUGUGAAAUAUUCUUGCUCAUUUCCAUUUUCAUUUCUGCUUCUGCUGCUCAUGAAUUGUGGCAACAUUAUAUUUUGAUUAGAGUAACUAGUAUCACUAGCUGUAUGCUACUUAUAUUAAACAGUAAACUGUAAAUCCUUAGAAACUGAAGUUAGUGUAUUUUAUCUGUUUAUGUGUAUGUGCCUGUGUAUAUAUAUGUGUUUAGAAAAUAUAGCCUAUUUGAUGGACUAGUGAAGACAGUAAAUUCACUCUUAAAUCUGCAGACAGUAGCAUGUAAUAAAGGUGCAAUCUGAAAAUAAACACAAGAAUUGCAGGAUGGGCAUCUGGUAGAAGAAAAAGGGUCAGAAACCCAGUGGCAGAUUCUAGUGACAGCUCAACCAUUUUUAAUAAAAAAUGUUGAAGUGUUGCAGUUAACUGCAUAUGUUAGGCUAGAGACUAACUGCAUAGCUUGCUGUGACAAAUAUACACUUCAACAAGGGGUAUUUACUCAGCAAGGUAUUAGUCCUACCCGUUCUUACUGAAUAAUGUUUUAAAAUUAUGUAUUACCUUUUAGUGUGCAAGCUUCUUUUAAAGAGGCUGCUACUUUGUAUAGGCAUAAGUGGCUAGUCUUCAAUGGAACAGGAUUAAAUCAUAAAUUAAUGGUCUUAUGCAUGAAAUGAAAUGCUCAACAGUACGGCAAAGGUAGGAAAGCAGAUGUGCAGUAUUACAAACUACUUCUGCACACUUGUACAGUAUUUCCACUACAGUUAGUGGAACUUAACUACCCGAGCAGGCGUGGCUUAGAUAACACUAAUGCUGUUUGUUUAUUUAAAUUACUUAGGGCACUUCCCUCCUGACAUGUCGUGUGCUUUCCUCAUGUCAACUUUAUUUUUAUGGUACUACUUAGGAGAUAAAAUAGAAGGAAAAAUGUUACAUAAACAAUGUUGUAAAUACCCAAAUU
ensembl:lncRNA